AAAAUUUUAAGUUAAGUAAACUUUUUGCCUUCAAAGCAAAGAAUAAUGCAGCGCAUUAAAUUUUG
rnacentral:tRNA from 1 species